rnacentral:rRNA from 1 species
UACGUAGGGACCAAGCGUUAAUCGGAAUUACUGGGCGUAAAGCGUGCGCAGGCGGCUUUGCAAGACAGGUGUGAAAUCCCCGGGCUUAACCUGGGAACUGCACUUGUGACUGCACGGCUGGAGUGCGGCAGAGGGGGAUGGGAAUUCCGCGUGUAGCAGUGAAAUGCGUAGAUAUGACGGAGGAACACCGAUGGCGAAGGCAAUCCCCUGGGCCUGCACUGACGCUCAUGCACGAAAGCGUGGGGAGCAAACAGG